AUGGCGGCAGCAGCAGUCGACAGCGCGAUGGAGGUGGUGCCGGCGCUAGCGGAGGAGGCCGCGCCGGAGGUAGCGGGCCUCAGCUGCCUGGUCAACCUGCCGGGUGAGGUGCUGGAGUACAUCCUGUGCUGCGGCUCGCUGACGGCCGCCGACAUCGGCCGUGUCUCCAGCACCUGCCGGCGGCUGCGCGAGCUGUGCCAGAGCAGCGGGAAGGUGUGGAAGGAGCAGUUCCGGGUGAGGUGGCCUUCCCUUAUGAAACACUACAGCCCCACCGACUACGUCAAUUGGUUGGAAGAGUAUAAAGUUCGGCAAAAAGCUGGUUUAGAAGCGCGGAAGAUUGUAGCCUCGUUCUCAAAGAGGUUCUUUUCAGAGCACGUUCCUUGUAAUGGCUUCAGUGACAUUGAGAACCUUGAAGGACCAGAGAUUUUUUUUGAGGAUGAACUGGUGUGUAUCCUAAAUAUGGAAGGAAGAAAAGCUUUGACCUGGAAAUACUACGCGAAAAAAAUUCUCUACUACCUGCGGCAACAGAAAAUUUUAAAUAAUCUUAAGGCCUUUCUUCAGCAGCCAGAUGACUAUGAGUCAUAUCUUGAAGGUGCUGUAUAUAUUGACCAGUACUGCAAUCCUCUCUCCGAUAUCAGCCUCAAAGACAUCCAGGCCCAAAUUGACAGCAUCGUAGAGCUCGUUUGCAAAACUCUUCGGGGCAUAAACAGUCGCCACCCCAGCUUGGCCUUCAAGGCAGGUGAAUCAUCCAUGAUAAUGGAAAUAGAACUCCAGAGCCAGGUGCUGGAUGCCAUGAACUAUGUCCUUUAUGACCAACUGAAGUUCAAGGGGAAUCGAAUGGAUUACUAUAAUGCCCUAAACUUAUAUAUGCAUCAGGUUUUGAUUCGCAGAACAGGAAUCCCAAUCAGCAUGUCUCUGCUCUAUUUGACAAUUGCUCGGCAGUUGGGAGUCCCACUGGAGCCUGUCAACUUCCCAAGUCACUUCUUACUAAGGUGGUGCCAAGGCGCAGAAGGGGCGACCCUGGACAUCUUUGACUACAUCUACAUAGAUGCUUUUGGGAAAGGCAAGCAGCUGACAGUGAAAGAAUGCGAGUACUUGAUCGGCCAGCACGUGACUGCGGCACUGUAUGGUGUGGUCAAUGUCAAGAAGGUGUUACAGAGAAUGGUGGGAAACCUCUUAAGCCUGGGGAAGCGGGAAGGUAUCGACCAGUCAUACCAGCUCCUGAGAGACUCGCUGGAUCUCUAUCUGGCAAUGUACCCGGACCAGGUGCAGCUUCUCCUCCUCCAAGCCAGGCUUUACUUCCACCUGGGCAUCUGGCCAGAGAAGUCUUUCUGUCUUGUCUUGAAGGUGCUUGACAUCCUCCAGCACAUCCAAACCCUAGACCCGGGGCAGCACGGGGCGGUGGGCUACCUGGUGCAGCACACUCUAGAGCACAUUGAGCGCAAAAAGGAGGAGGUGGGUGUGGAGGUGAAGCUGCGCUCCGAUGAGAAGCACAGAGAUGUCUGCUACUCCAUUGGGCUCAUUAUGAAGCAUAAGAGGUAUGGCUAUAACUGUGUGAUCUACGGCUGGGACCCCACCUGCAUGAUGGGACACGAGUGGAUCCGGAACAUGAACGUCCACAGCCUACCGCACGGCCACCACCAGCCUUUCUAUAACGUGCUGGUGGAAGACGGCUCCUGUCGAUACGCAGCCCAAGAAAACUUGGAAUAUAACGUGGAGCCUCAAGAAAUCUCACACCCUGAUGUGGGACGCUAUUUCUCAGAGUUUACUGGCACUCACUACAUCCCGAACGCAGAGCUGGAGAUCCGGUAUCCAGAAGAUCUGGAGUUCGUCUAUGAAACGGUGCAAAAUAUUUACAGUGCAAAGAAAGAGAACAUAGAUGAGUAAAGUCUAGAGAGGACAUUGCACCUUUGCCGCUGCUGCUGCUAUCUUCCAAGAGAACGGGACUCCGGAAGAAGACGUCUCCACGGAGCCCUCGGGACCUGCUGCACCAGGAAAGCCACUCCACCAGUAGUGCUGGUUGCCUCCUACUAAGUUUAAAUACCGUGUGCUCUUCCCCAGCUGCAAAGACAAUGUUGCUCUCCGCCUACACUAGUGAAUUAAUCUGAAAGGCACUGUGUCAGUGGCAUGGCUUGUAUGCUUGUCCUGUGGUGACAGUUUGUGACAUUCUGUCUUCAUGAGGUCUCACAGUCGACGCUCCUGUAAUCAUUCUUUGUAUUCACUCCAUUCGCCCGCCUGUCUGCAUUUGUCUCAGAACAUUUCCUUGGCUGGACAGAUGGGGUUAUGCAUUUGCAAUAAUUUCCUUCUGAUUUCUCUGUGGAACAUGUUCGGUCCCGAGUGAGGACUGUGUGUCUUUUUACCCUGAAUUUAGUUGCAUAUUCAGAGGUAAAGUUGUGUGCUAUCUUGGCAGCAUCUUAGAGAUGGAGACAUUAACAAGCUAAUGGUAAUUAGAAUCAUUUGAAUUUAUUUUUUUCUAAUAUGUGAAACACAGAUUUCAAGUGUUUUAUCUUUUUUUUUUUAAAUGUAAAUGGGAAUAUAACACAGUUUUCCCUUCCAUAUUCUUCUCUUGAGUUUAUGCACAUCUCUAUAAAUCAUUAGUUUUCUAUUUUAUUACAUAAAAUUCUUUGAGAAAAUGCAAAUAGUGAACUUUGUGAAUGGAUUUUUCCAUACUCAUCUACAAUUCCUUCCUUUUAAAUGACUACUUUUAUUUUUUAAUUUUAAAAAUCUACUUCAAUAUCAUGAGUAGGUCUUACAUCAGUGAUGGGUUCUUUUUGUAGUGAGACAUACAAAUCUGAUGUUAAAUGUUUGCUUUUAGAAGUCAUACUCCAUGGUCUCCAAAGACCAAAAAAUGAAGUUUUGCUUUUGUAAUCAGAAAAAAAAAAAAAAAAAAAAAAAAUCAUGAACCUUAAAAAAAAAAAAAAAAGGCUUUGAAGGGAAAAAAAGUGGUUUCACACCUCUUGCUAUUCCUUAGAGUCACUUCAAGGCCUGUUUGAAUGUGGCAGGUUAGAAAGAGAGAGAAUGUCUUUGAUUUGAAGAGUGUUGGACUUGCGUGAAAGGAGAGGUGCGUGUUGGAAUCUGCUUUUCCAAGCCGCCAGGGUCCUGAAAGCCCCAGGAUGAAACCUGUUAUGGCGUCUUUUGGGAAAGCCUGACUGUGUGUUCAGAUGGCACUGGCUCCUUUCCGAAGUUCUUAGUAACUGAGCCCAGAGUAACUGCACGCCUUCGUGCAGCUCCAAAGCUCCCCCAACUCUCGGCCUGCCGGUUCUCAAGUGAGCUAAUCUCGUCAUUAAUCAGUAGAAGCUAACUUCUGAAGUUAGGACCUAGUUACUUUGCUCUCAGCGUUUAAAAUGAUGCAGUUGCUCUAAUGUAUGGGGCAGUAGGGGCCUGUCUGUGCGCCUGUCUGUGCACCUGUCUUUCCCUCUGCAUGCAGUAUUCUCACCCACAUUGAAUGCCUGCUGCUUGUUUACCCUUUGGAAACCCUGGGGUGACUGAGGUUUGGAAAGCCACCUGAGACCACUUCAUAGCAAGGGAAGGCUUUAAGCAGUUACUAGAAAGAGAUGGGGAUUUGGCCCCUGGCUCCUCCAGCCUGAAUUAGCUAUUAUCCACUGUCCACGUUCCUCAUCAGUCAAAUCCAAAGUCGAAGGAUUUGAACCUGCAUCUGAAAAUGUGAGCACUCACAGCACCUGACCCGCCGAGGUUGGGAGGAUUGUACACUACUCUGAUUUAAAGGGGAAAGUUCAGUAAUAUGGAAUUAAUAUGAAUGAGAUGCAUUAAUAAGAAACUGAGCAUGCUGAGAGUUGCAAUGGUUGGUUUUCUGGUUUGAUUGAUUUCCUUUUUUCUUAGAAACAUCAAAGCCAAGAAAGAUGGUUUUACCUUUACUGACCCAGCUGUAAAUAUGUACCUAGACUGUUUUUAAAUGUCUUUCUUCAUGAAUGCUUCGCGGGGCUCCAGGAAGCCUGUAUCACCUGUGACAGAAAGCCCAGCCAUGACUUGAGUAGGAUGUCUCUCACCUGUCUUCGGAUCUAAAUAUGAAAAGUAUGUUCUGCUGAAUUUUUCUGAGCAUUGGUGAGCGGACAGCCUACCUGUAAACCAUGACCUCCUUGCCAAACGUUAAUUUUAUCAGCUCACUAGUAACCUUUGAGAAUUAUCUGGUUGUCAUGCAAAGAUUGCACUUUUUGAAUUAUGUUAAGUUACACAUGUUGUAAAAUGAGAACUGCUCAUGCUUUGAAAGAAAACCAGGUUCUUCGUGCGUUCUGUUGCCGUUGAUUUGAAUGGCUGCGCUGUAUACGAUGUGUCCAAAAUGUCUCCAGAGCACUGAUUCUGUGUAAUGUUACUACCUAUUAUGUGGGAGGAAAAAAGGUUAUAGGUUAAACAAAGUCAGUCGACUCUAUGGUGGUGUUUCUCCAUACCUGUAACGCACAGUACUGUGCGUCGUGACUUUCUAAGAGAAGCCUGCAGCGCGUAUGUCAUCUUGAUAUAUUAAACCCUGGAAUUUCCCUCCCCUGCACGCACGCACCAUCCCUGGGGGGGCCGGUGUUUGCAGACAUGCUUUGAAAAGCUGUCUCAGCGAGGCAUCAGUUAUGUCCAAAAUGAGUUUACCUUAGAAUCAGACUGGUUUUGCCAGGCGUCAUGUUUGCAAACAUUAUCCACCUAAUCAGAUUUUGAAAGGCCAGCUUUCAUGUUGCCUGCCGGAGACCUAUAACAGAUCCCCAUUAGAAGCGCAUUUACACAGCAGAAUGAUUUUAUUGAGAAAACCAGCAUUAAGUACUGUUGCCGGCUCAGUUUUCCAUUGCAUACUAUCUACUUAAAGCCUCGUUCUCAUUUUCCAAUGUUUCGGUCUUUCUCCACGGAGAACACUGAGCAGAGCUGCCGUGUUGCAGGCUUUCUGCUGCUGCUGUCAGGUAUCUUUGCUUUCCCCUCCUUAGUCCAUACUCCCAAGUAAGUGAACUCAGACUACCAGCAACUUUUUAACUGAAGAGUGUCUGUGACCAUGAUGAUCAAGAUGCAGCUCUUCGUGUUUUUAUUUUGUCUUUUUUUUUUUUUUUUGGAGGGAAGGAGAGACAUCAGCUGGACAAAAUGCAGAAUUUGGAUGUGGGACAGUUGCUUUUUGGAGACGUGAUUAUUUUGUGUGGCAUGCUAACUUCGAGCCGGACACUGGCCUAAUAGUCUUUGUCAUCCUCCCAGCAAUCCGAUGAGGCAGACGCAGAUAGUGAAGUUUUACGCUUUGCAGGCCGCGUACAGACUGUCGCGUGUUCUCUGUUUUUAAAAGUGUCAACAACAUUCUUAGCUCAAGGGCUGUACAAAAACAGGCUGCAGACGGGAUGGUGCCCACAGGCCAUAGUUGGCUGACCCGGGCUAGGGUGUAGGCACUUAGCAUUCCACUGUAUAAAGGGGAAACCCAGGUCAUACUGCGUGUGCGUGGGUGGGAAGCCGGAUGUGGAAUACAGGUGGUCCCUGAGUCUCCAGGAACCACUGAGCUCCAGCUGUUCACACCCACACUCUCCGGCGCAAGCAACUACCUCGCCAUGGUUUAGCCUUGGUCUAGCUGCAACUUUAACCUUGAAUGUUGCAUUUCUGAAAAUUUAGAAUCUUGAAGGUAAAGGACAUCCCUUCGGUGAAUAAAAUUAUGCGCAAUUAUAGAAUACAUGUGUUAUGGUCACGUAGCAAUGACUGUAUUAGGGCUAUGCUAGUUCUGUAAUAAAUAGACCCGAAAAGC